AUUGAACGCUGGCGGCAGGCCUAACACAUGCAAGUCGAGCGAGCGGCGGACGGGUGAGUAAUGGCUGGGAAACUGCCUGAUGGAGGGGGAUAACUACUGGAAACGGUAGCUAAUACCGCAUAACAUCAGAUUUGCCCAGAUGGGAUGAGCUAGUAGGUGGGGUACCGGCUCCCCUAGGCGACGAUCCCUAGCUGGUCUGAGAGGAUGACCAGCCAGCCUGGAAGUGUGUCACGGUCCAGACUCCGUCGAGGGGCAGCAGUGGAGAAGAUUGCCCAAUGGGCGCAAGCCUGAUGCGGCCAUGCCGCGUGUGGGAAGAAGGCCUUCGGGUUGUAAAGCGCUUUCAGCGGGGGGGCGUUACCCGCAGAAGAAGCACCGGCUAACUCCGUGCCAGCAGCCGCGGUAAUUC
rnacentral:rRNA from 1 species